GCUGACACAUCCCUGCCAAUCUCCGGCAGACCCUCCCUCCCAGACUCUCCCACUUCCUGGACAGCAUCCAUGUUGAAGCUGCCUUCAACAUGGAUGCUGUCCAGGAAGUAGGAGGGUCUGGGAGGGAGGGUCUGCUGGAGAUUGGCCGGGAUGUGUCAG